AGGGGUGCGGUGCCAAGGGUGGUGGCAAGGGGUGAUUUUCUUUGCCGGCUUCUUGGAUUUUUCUCUUAGUCUUAAGAACCUGAGCCCGUAUCCCACGAUGACUCGACCCCAAUCCCCCAGCUGCUAGCCCCCGGAAAAAUAUUAUCUACCUCCGCCCUGGCCAUCACCCCUCCACAUCGCCUUUCCCCCAUAUCCUCACCAGCACGCGCGGGAGAAAACUGUGGGCCGAGGAACACCCCACCCUCUCCGGAGGCUGCUGCCCCCAGGGCAAAGCUUCGGGAAGACCAGCCGAAAAUGAAGCGAGAACAACCCCCCUUUCCUGCAGAAAGGGCCCCAGACUCCUGCAAAAGGGCCCCGACUGCUGAGAAGCCCCUCCCGCCCUUGCCUCAUCUUUCCGACUUCCCUGCCUGCCACGUCUCCUUUCCUCUCCAGCAAGACUCCUCCAGAAUCCUCAUUCUCAGAGUCCAAGCCUGACUUCCUGGAAAGGUGUCCUGAAGCUCAGGUGAAACUCUCCUGAAGCUCAAGGCCACCUUGCUGUCUGCUGCCCUGAACUCCACGGACUCCAAGCUGUCUCCUCCUCACACAUUCCUGACCAUCUGCUGUUUUGCCUACAUACAGACCCCUGGGAAGAUGAGGAAAUCCAGAUCUGGAAUGGACAGUGUAUUGAGAACCUCCAAAGCCAGCAGGAGGUCCAGAGGGGGCAGGUGUCUUACAGAAGACAUGAACAGGCACUCAACAUAUGUUUCUUUAUUUAACCCUCAAGAACUCUGGAACAUCAGAUACACUUCAGCCAACUUCCAGCUACAAGCAAACUCAGUGUUCUCCCAAUGUUUCCACUGUGGGGUAAAGGCACUGGCAGUUUUAAAAGUCAAGAACCUUGGACUCAUCCUUGGCACCUCCCUCUCCCUCCCGAGCCGCCACCCAUAGCUAAUCCAUCACCACAGCCUGUCAUUUACUGGAGCCUCCAGCCUCGAAUCUCCUCCCACCUCUGUGACCAACCACAGCCCGGCCUCCCGCAUCCACUCUGCCCCAGUCAGAGGGCUCUCAGUCAGAGGGAUCUUUCCAAAAUAGACUGCAUCAUGGCACUCUCCUGCUUAAACCCUUCCGUGACUCCUGCUUACACUCAGGAUAAAGAUCCAAAUCUGGAACUGACUGUUGUUGCCGCCCCAGCCUGGAGGCUCUCUGAUCUCAUCUCUCAGGCUCAGUCACACUCCGCAACCUGCGAUGCUUUCUUCCUGGCAAGCCUGGCAAGCCGGUGAUUCCUGGCUAAGACCUGCCUCCCCGGCUAGGCUAGGGUGAAAACCACAUCUGUGUCUGCCUGGGUCCUACUGUUUCCCCAUGGCCCACAGGGUACCUGCACAUGAUAGGUUCUCGGUAAUAGCUACUCAGUGAUGAAUGAAUGGCAGAGAAAUCAAGCCUUUGCCUGUGCCGCAGCGGCUCUGCAGCCUGACUGCUCUGCCAGGUGGCCACAGUGCUAGACUACCAUAUUAGCUUAGAAAACUACCUCCUGCAGCCACACUGUGUGCCAGGCUCUGCCUCCCUACCUUUAAACACACUCAUCCUGACCCAUUUUGCCUGUUUUCAGGAGUGAUCGCCAACAUUUGUACUUUUUGUGACUUGUACAUAUUUUUACUAUAAAAUUUCCUGACCCGAUUCAUUCAACAACUGGAUAACAAUUGGUUAUGGGUUUGACAAGGCAGACUCAUUGACAUUUGGAGGCAUAAACAGUUCUGGCUUUGGCAGUCCAGAUGGCUUCCCCAAGAAGCUAGAGGCUGUGGCCCCAGAACUCUGCUCUUUUAGCUGCUGCUAAAAAGAUGGGAGAAUUUAGUUCAAGGCAAAGCCUUGCGAUUCCCCCCUGCCCACUCCUGCCCUCCCUGCUCCAAGGCCGCCCUUGAUGUUUUAUUUAAAUCUGAUUUCAUCUAGAUAAGCUUGGUGGAGGGCAAAGGAAAGAAGUCAUCCUCCCUGCAGCCUGCCCCCCACCACCCCCGCCGCUUUGCAUUCAUUAUGCAAGUAUUUGUUUGGAGGGAGAGGGGCUCCACUGAGCCAAGUGCAAAGUGUUGGGGAUACAGCAGCAAACCAGAGACAGGUGGGUAUGUAGUGGGUUAG